GGUGUGUAGCUCAGUGGUAGAGCAUGUGCUUAGCCAUGCACAGAAGUCCUGGGUUCAAUCCCCAGUCCCUCCU
rnacentral:tRNA from 1 species